GAUUCAGAAGCACGCGCCGCCACUACUGUACGACGCGCGUCGCACGACCACGCGCUGGUGGUAGAUGGCGAUGAAGACACAGAACUCUACGGACCUCCCCAAUACUCCCCGUCCAGGAUAGCACCUGAUUCAGAAAUCCCCGCACCAGAAGAACCAACGUCAGAGGAACCUCCCCCAGCGGAGACGGAAGACGAGCCACCGACGGAGCCCAAAGACGGCUCCAAACACAACGGGAUGGUCAUGGCCAGCGCUGAGGU